rnacentral:rRNA from 1 species
UGCGCAGGCGGUUUGCUAAGACCGAUGUGAAAUCCCCGGGCUCAACCUGGGAACUGCAUUGGUGACUGGCAGGCUAGAGUAUGGCAGAGGGGGGUAGAAUUCCACGUGUAGCAGUGAAAUGCGUAGAGAUGUGGAGGAAUACCGAUGGCGAAGGCAGCCCCCUGGGCCAAUACUGACGCUCAUGCACGAAAGCGUGGGGAGCAAACA